rnacentral:rRNA from 1 species
AGUUUUGCUCCAAGGACCAAUCUGUACUGAGACACGGACCAGACUCCUACGGGAGGCAGCAGUGAGGAAUAUUGCACAAUGGGGGAAACCCUGAUGCAGCAACGCCGCGUGGAGGAUUACGCAUUUCGGUGUGUAAACUCCUUUUAUAUGUCAAGAAAAUGACGGUAGCAUAUGAAUAAGCACCGGCUAACUCCGUGCCAGCAGCCGCGGUAAUACGGAGGGUGCAAGCGUUAUUCGGAAUCACUGGGCGUAAAGGACGCGUAGGCGGGUUGUCAAGUCAGGUGUGAAAUCCUACAGCUUAACUGUAGAACUGCACUUGAAACUGGCAACCUAGAGUAUGGGAGGGGGAGAUGGAAUUAGUGGUGUAGGGGUAAAAUCCGUAGAUAUCACUAGGAAUACCGAAAGCGAAGGCGAUCUCCUGGAACAUAACUGACGCUAAGGCGUGAAAGCGUGGGGGGCAAACAGGAUUAGAUACCCUGGUAGCCCACGCCCUAAACGAUGAACACUAGUCGUCGCUCUGCUUGUCAGGGCGGUGAUGCACUUAACAGAUUAAGUGUUCCGCCUGGGGAGUACGGUCGCAAGAUUAAAACUCAAAGGAAUAGACGGGGACCCGCACAAGUGGUGGAGCAUGUGGUUUAAUUCGAAAAUACGCGAAGAACCUUACCUAGCCUUGACAUUGAUUGAAUACCCUAGAGAUAGAGUAGUGCCCUUCGGGGAACAUGAAAACAGGUGCUGCACGGCUGUCGUCAGCUCGUGUCGUGAGAUGUUGGGUUAAGUCCCGCAACGAGCCAACCCUCGUCCUUAGUUGCCAGCAGGUUAAGCUGGGCACUCUAAGGAGACUGCCUUCGCAAGAAGGAGGAAGGUGAGGACGACGUCAAGUCAUCAUGGCCCUUAUGGCUAGGGCUACACACGUGCUACAAUGGGGCGUACAGAGAGUUGCGAUACCGCGAGGUGGAGCCAAUCUCAUAAAGCGUCUCUCAGUUCGGAUUGAAGUCUGCAACUCGACUUCAUGAAGCUGGAAUCACUAGUAAUCGUAGAUCAGCAAUGCUACGGUGAAUACGUUCCCGGGUCUUGUACUCACCGCCCGUCACACCAUGGGAGUUGAUUUCACCCGAAAUUGGGAAGCUAACCUUCGGGGGGCUACCACUUACGGUGGAAUUAGCGACUGGGGUGAAGUCGGAACAAGGUAACCGUAGGAGAUCCUGCGGUUG